rnacentral:lncRNA from 1 species
UAAUUCAUCCAUAUGCAUAUUUCUUACUUCCUUUACACACAUGGAAGAGUAACAAACAGAGAGAUGAUAGAUACAAUAUAAACUGUAAGUCCGUAACAAUAAAUAUAAUACAUCACAUGAAUGAGAAGCCAGAAAUUGCUAGUUAGCUACCUACUUACCACCUAAUCCUCCUUGAUUUUCCUGUCUACAACCAAUAAUAAUCGCGGUACGACCACGGCCAAAUGAAUAAAUACCCAGCUACAAGCAAGCAAACAACACUCUCAUCGACUCCACU